rnacentral:rRNA from 1 species
CUACCGGAGGCAGCAGUGGGGAAAUUUGCACAAUGCCAGAAAGGGUGAUGCAGGGACGCCAUGUUAGCUAAGAAGGCCUUCGGGUUGUAAAGCUCUUUUAUUUGGGAAGAAUGGCUGUCAUAGGGAAUGACGACAGCAGAGACGGUACCCGAUAAAGACCCGUCCC